GGUAACAGGAAGCAGCUUGCUGCUUUGCUGACGAGUGGCGGACGGGUGAGUAAUGUCUGGGAAACUGCCUGAUGGAGGGGGAUAACUACUGGAAACGGUAGCUAAUACCGCAUAACGUCGCAAGACCAAAGAGGGGGACCUUCGGGCCUCUUGCCAUCGGAUGUGCCCAGAUGGGAUUAGCUAGUAGGUGGGGUAACGGCUCACCUAGGCGACGAUCCCUAGCUGGUCUGAGAGGAUGACCAGCCACACUGGAACUGAGACACGGUCCAGACUCCUACGGGAGGCAGCAGUGGGGAAUAUUGCACAAUGGGCGCAAGCCUGAUGCACCCAUGCCGCGUGUAUGAAGAAGGCCUUCGGGUUGUAAAGUACUUUCAGCGGGGAGGAAGGCGAUAAGGUUAAUAACCUUGUCGAUUGACGUUACCCGCAGAAGAAGCACCGGCUAACUCCGUGCCAGCAGCCGCGGUAAUACGGAGGGUGCAAGCGUUAAUCGGAAUUACUGGGCGUAAAGCGCACGCAGGCGGUCUGUCAAGUCGGAUGUGAAAUCCCCGGGCUCAACCUGGGAACUGCAUUCAAAACUGGCAGGCUAGAGUCUUGUAGAGGGGGGUAGAAUUCCAGGUGUAGCGGUGAAAUGCGUAGAGAUCUGGAGGAAUACCGGUGGCGAAGGCGGCCCCCUGGACAAAGACUGACGCUCAUGUGCGAAAGCGUGGGGAGCAAACAAGAUU
rnacentral:rRNA from 1 species